rnacentral:rRNA from 1 species
UUAAAAAGCUCGUAGUUGAAUUUCGGGAUCAGUACGUUGGUCGUGCCUUAGGUACGUACUGGUGUUACUGGUUCCUACCUUCUGACGAACCAUCAUGUCAUUAAUUUGGUGUGGCGGGGAAUCAGGACUGUUACUUUGAAAAAAUUAGAGUGUUUAAAGCAGGCUCGCGCUUGAAUACAUUAGCAUGGAAUAAUGAAAUAGGACGUUGAUCCUAUUUUGUUGGUUUCUAGGAUUGACGUAAUGAUUAAUAGGGAUAGUUGGGGG